rnacentral:lncRNA from 1 species
GGGAGCAGUUUCUGCAGGACACUAUUAUGAGGGCGUUGACUUUUAUUUUGAAUUGAAGCAGGAAGUCACUAGAGAGCUUUGAGGAGAGGAUCAAUUUGGCUCCUGGGUUGAGAAUAAACUCCAGAGGGCAAAGGCAAAAAGGGAGACUGGUUAGUAGCAUUUACAAUAAUCCAGGACUGUAACAACACAAACUAGAGAAGAUGACAUAAGGUACAAAAAAGCAAAUUGGCCCUGAACUAAUAUCUGUUGCCAAUCCUCUUCUAUUUUGUAUGCGGGAUGCCACCACAGCUUGACUUGAUGAGCAGUGUGUAGGUCUGCACCCAGGAUCCAAACCUGUGAACCCCGGGCCACUGAAGCAGAGUGUGCAAACUUAACCACUAUGCCACCAGGCCAGUCCUGAAUCUAAUAAUUCUUGAUGCUAUUAUUGAUCCCCGUGGCACCACUGGAUAAUUUUUUUUUUCUGCUGAGGAAGAUUAGCCCUGAGUUAACAUCUGUUGUCCAUCUUCCUGUUUUUUUCGCUUGAGGAAGAUUAGCCCUGAGCUAAUGUGUGCCAGUCUGCCUCGACUUUGUAUGUGGGUUGUUGCCACAGCAUGCCUGACAAGUGGUGUAGGUCUCCGUGUGGGAUCUGAACCUGUGAACCUGGGCUGCUGAAGCAGAGAAUGCUGAACUUAACCACUAUGCCACGGGGCUGGCCCCUGGAUAACUUUCUGUUUAGGGACCUUGGCCACAAAUACUACAUAAACAUAGUGAUAUAUAAUUUAUCUAUUGUAGUACUGAGUUUUUUUCUAUCAACUUAAAGGCACAAAUUAAAGAACCAUUUUCACAAGUUAA